AGUGAACGCUGGCGGUAGGCCUAACACGUGCAAGUCGAACGGCAGCACAGUAAGAGCUUGCUCUUACGGGUGGCGAGUGGCGGACGGGUGAGGAAUACAUCGGAAUCUACUUUUUCGCGGGGGAUAACGUAGGGAAACUUACGCUAAUACCGCAUACGACCUACGGGUGAAAGCAGGGGAUCUUCGGACCUUGCGCGAUUGAAUGAGCCGAUGUCGGAUUAGCUAGUUGGCGGGGUAAAGGCCCACCAAGGCGACGAUCCGUAGCUGGUCUGAGGGGAUGAUCAGCCACACUGGAACUGAGACACGGUCCAGACUCCUACGGGAGGCAGCAGUGGGGAAUAUUGGACAAUGGGCGCAAGCCUGAUCCAGCCAUACCGCGUGGGUGAAGAAGGCCUUCGGGUUGUAAAGCCCUUUUGUUGGGAAAGAAAAGCAGCAGGUUAAUACCCCGCUGUUCUGACGGUACCCAAAGAAUAAGCACCGGCUAACUUCGUG
rnacentral:rRNA from 1 species